rnacentral:lncRNA from 1 species
AAACCCCCCUGUGCAAGUUACCUUAUCUGUGCCUGUUGGCUAUUCUUUGGUUUGAAAGAAUUCUUCCAAGGAUCCACCCUAACUGCCUGCCUGACUCGUUUCUUCCUUUCCCCUCUCAGUAAGGGAGAUGUUUCCUAUUAUCCUUGAUAAUGUGCCAUGAACAUAUGAAAAAACAUAGAAACAUGAAGAAAACAAGAAGACAAAAAUCACUAACAUCUGGUUGGCUGUAUAGAAACAAAGCUGAUUCUGCUUGCAAAUGGAUCUUACAGACGUUGUCACAGAGACAAGAAAAGCAUAUAAAAAAAUAAAUAAAGAUGAGCUCCUUUCAAGGUGACUGACUAGAAGCAGCUGGUGUGUGCUGCUCUCACAAAGAGAAGAAAGAGUGGUGAGUGGACCAUCCAGGUGGACACAUUGGGAUUCAUCAAGGAAACAAUACACAGAAAACAGAAGAAUGAGACAGGACAAUCAUUCACCCAGAAGUGGCAUAGAGCCGGGAGAUGGCCCUCACCAUGGUUAGUAAGUGAGAGUCCCCAGGGAGUCACAUUUCUGCCACAGACCUUUGCAACCCUGGGCCCAGGCGAUCCCCCAUGACACCCGUGCCCCACCAGGGCCUCUGGACUGACAUAGACAGCUACAUGGAGUGUGGGCAGAACUGCCACUCAGGCACUCAUGAAAUCCUUGGAGCUUUUCAUCCCCAGGCACCCUGGUACCAAUGGCUGCAGCUGCGGCAAUGGGGGAGGACAGGCUCUCUUGCAUGUCCUCAGAAUAGGAACACAAUCCAUGGGGCUAAGCAGUGGGUGGACUGUGGGGCUCUUCUACACAGCCCGUUGCCAGACUGGCCUGGGAUCCUAGCAUGGUCACAAAAGUCCCACCUGGGCUCUUGAGGAACAGAUCUGUACUUCCCUGGCAUGGAACUCCUGGAGGGGAUGGGCAGGCUGCUGUUUUUGCUGCUCCACAGCCCUCACUCCUGUUGCCCUCAGUCUUGGGAGUGAGCACAGUGAUUGGGGACUAACAUAGACCCCCAGCACAGUGUACAGACUUGCAGAAAAGCAGCCAGACUCUUUUCCACAUGGGUCCUCACCCCUGCUACUCUUCACUGGGCAGCACCUCUUGACCUUGGCCCCCAGCACAACCAACCCGCCCCCACAUGAACGCUUUGUCAGUGAUGGCUCUGUGUUUCUCUGAGGAGAAAAAUCCAAAAGACAAUCCAUAAGCCUUCUGCUAUUGCAGCUGCAGUGGUAUGGCCCUUACUACCUUCAGGCUGGGGAAAGAACGAAGGACUUGGUCCUUACACUGGCCCCUCCAGCACACCAUCGCCACCAUAUGGAGAAGAGCCCAGUCUCUCUUCCCCGUAAGCCCCCACUCACCACUGUUCACCAGGCAAGGCCCCUAGUUGGGGACAGCAGAGCAGCUGUCCUACCCCCGGAUGAGAAUUCCCACUGCUAUUGGCUCUAUAUUUUCCUGAGGUGGGCCUCCCAGAAGCAAUUGACAUCCCCUCUGUCACUGUCAUGGCAGCAGUUCUGCCCUUACUGCACUCAGACUGGGGAAAGAACAAACAGCCUGAGGUCUUCACUCACACUCCUAGCACAACACAGUCAUGAUAUGGAGAGGAGCCCAGUUGUUCCUCCUGGUGAGCCCUUGACCUCCUACUUUUCAUCAAGUGAAGCCUCCAGCUUGGGCUAGCAGCGUAGCCACCCCACCCACUGGCUGAACAUUCUCAGUAGCAAUGGCUUGCGUUUCUCUGAAGUAGGGCUCCCAGGGACAACGGAAAGCACCUCUCCCACUGCCACUGCAGCGGUACUGCCUUGCUGCCCUUGGACUGGGGAAGGGGCAGAGACCUUGAGUGCUUAACCCACAUGUCCAGGAAGUGACAGCUGCCCUAAGGAGAGGAGGCCAGUCUGUCUCCUCUGUGAGACCCCUGCCACCCUUGCGCAUCACCAGGCAGGGCCUCCAGGCAUGGGUUCACAAUGUAGCUGCCCCAAUCCCAAGCCCAUCUCUCCAAUUAGUAGUGGCUCUGCAUUUCUCUAGGGUGGAGCCCCAAGAGACAAGUGAAAGGCCCUCUGCCACAGCAACUGCCAAGGUCCCUUCCCCUGUUGCCUUCAAGCUGGGGAGGGAAAAUAAAGCCUUAGCUCGCCCCUAGCAGCAGUGUGCAGCCCAGGAGUGCCAAGGCCAGACCUUAAGCCAGCACUGGAGUGGGAAAGGGAGCCCACACUUUCAGAGCACUGAGAGGGAGCAUGGCUGCAAUCAUGAAGAAAUACAGAGGAGCCACGUGGUGGAGCAAGAGCCCACCUACUGGCCAUUACACUUCAGUGCCAUCUACUGGAUCAUAGCCCAAACUCCAACUCCAAAAAUGCUUGCUAAUAUACCCCCCUCUGUGAAAACAACGACAAGAUUUCAACAACAAAGACCCUGCACAAAACCUCGGCCCUCAAAAAACAUUCAAAAAAGGAGUCUGCACUCAAUUACACCACAGUUAAAGGAGCAUCAGCCCACACAGAUGAGAAAAAACUGGUGCAAGAGCUCUAACAACUAAACUACAGUGUUUUCUUUCCUCCAAAUAACUGUACUAGUUCCCAAGGAAGGGUUCUUAACCAGGCAGAAAGGGUGGAAAUGACAGAGAGAGAAUUCAAAAUAUGGAUAGGAAUAAAGGUCAUCAAGAUUCAGGAGAAAGUCAAAACCCAAUCCAAGGAAUCUAACAAUUACAAUAAAACAAUACAGGAGUUGAAAGACAAAAUGGCCAUUAUAAGAAAGAACCAAACUGAUCUGAUAGAGCUAAAAAACACACUAAAGAAUUCCUUAAUGUAAUUGCAAGUAUUAACAGCAGAAUAGACCAAGCUGAAGAAAGAAUCUCAGAGCUCACAGGCAACAUCUCUGAACUCAGUCAGACAAAAAUAAGAAUAAAGAAGAAUGAACAAAACCUCCGAGAAAUAUGGGAUUAUGUAGAGACCAAAUCUAUGACUCACUGGCAUCCUUGAAAGAGAGGAGGAGAAAGCAAGCAACUUGGAAAACAUAUUUCAGGAUAUCAUCUAUGAAGACUUCCCCAACAUCGCUAUGGAGAACAACAUUCAAAAUCAGGAAAUGCAGAAAAUCCCUGUGAGAUUCUAUAUAAGAAGACCAUCCACGAGCCACAUGGUCGUCAGAUUCUUCAAGGCCAAAACAAAAGAAAAAAUGUUAAAGGAAGCUAGAGAGAAGAGGCAGAUCACCUACAAAGGAAACCUCAUUAGGCUAACAGCAGAUCAUUCAGCAGAAAUCCCACAAGCCAGAAGAGAUUAGGAGUGUGUAUUCAGCAUUAUUAAGGAAAAGAAAUUUCAACCAAGAAUCUCAUAUCUAGCCAAACUUAGUUUCAUUAGCGAAGGAGAAAUAAGAUCCUAUUCAGACAAGCAAAUGCUAAGGGAAUUCAGUACCACCAGACAUGCUCUAUAAGAGAUCCUGAAGCAAGUGCCAAAUAUAGAACAGAAAGACUGUUACUGACCACUGCAAAAGCACACUAAAAACGUAGACCAUUGACACUGUAAAGCAACCACACAAAUAAAGCUGCAUAAUAACCAGCUAACAGCACAAUGACAGGAUCAAAUCAGCAAAUACCAAUAUUAACCUUGAAAGUGAAGGGGCUAAGUGCCCCAAUGAAAAGUCACAGAGUGGCAAGUUGGAUAAAGAGCAAGACCCUGGCCAGGCAGGUGACUCAUGCCUGUAAUCUCAGCACUUUGGGAAGCUGACACAGGUGAAUCAAGAAUUCAAGACCAGUCUGGCCAACAUGGUGAAACCCCAUCUCUAUUAAAAUACAAAAAUUAGCCCUGGACAUGGUGGUGCUCAUCUAUAGUCCCAGGUACUAGGGAGGCUGAGGCGGGCGGAUCAGUUGAACCCAGGAGGCAGAGGUUGCAGUGAGCUGAGAUCAUGCCACUGCGCUUCAGCCUAAAAAAAAAAAAAAAAAAAAAAAAAAAAAGCAUGAUCCAACUGUAUGCUGUCUUCAACAGACAUAUCUCACAUGGAUCCAUAGGCUUAAAGUAAAGGGAUGAAGAAAAAUCUACCAAGCCAAUGGAAAACAGAAAAUAGCUGGGGUUGACAGUCGAAUUUCAGUCAAAACAGACUUUAAACCAACAAUGAUCAAGAAAGACAAAGGAAGACAUUACAGAAUAGUAAAGGGUUCAAUACAACAGAAAGAUGUUACUAUUGUAAAUAUAUAUGCAUCCAACACAGGAGAAUCCAGAUUCAUAAAGCAAGUUCUUAGAGACCUAUGAAGAGAUGUAGAUAACUGGACAAUAAUAGUAGUAGACUUCAACACCCCACAGACAGUAUAUUACACAGAUCACUGAGGCAGAAAACUCACAAAAAUAUCCAGGAUUCAAACUCAACAUUGACCAAAUGGACUCAAUACACAUCUGUAGAACUCUCCACCAAACAACACCAGAAUAUAUAUUCUACUCAUCUGCACAGAGCACACACUGCAAAAGAGAAAACACAAUUAGCCAUAAAAUAAUCCUCAGGAAAUCAAAAACAAACAAACAAAAACAAAAUCAUACAAAUCACACUCUCAAACCACAGCACAAUAAAAAUAGAAAUUAUUACUUAAAAAACCCUCAAAACCAUAAAAUUACAUGGAAAUUUUUAAAAGCCCUGCUUUUGAAUGACCUUUGUAUAAACAAUAAAGUCAAAGCAGAAAUCAAGAAAUUUUUUGAAGUUAAGAAGAAUAAAGAUACAACAUACCAGAAUCUCUGAGACACAGUAAAAACAGCAUUAAGAGGGGUGUUUAUACUGCUAAAUGCCACAUCAAAAAGUUAGAAAGACCUCCAAUUAAUAAUCUCACAGCACACUUAGAAGAACUAGAGAAAUCAGAGCAAGCAACCUCAAAGCUAGCAGAAGACAAGGAUUAACAAAAAUCAAAGCUGAAUGGAAGGAUAUUGAGAAGCAGAAAACUGUACAAAAGUUCAACAAAUAUAAGAAUUGAUCCUUUGAAGGAAUAGAUUAGAUAGAUAGACCCCUAGUCAGAAUAAUAAAGAAAAAAGGGGGAAGAUCCAAAUAAACAAAAUCAGAAAUGACAAAGGUGAACACUACCACUAACCCUACAAAAAUACAAAAAGCCCCUAGAAACUACUGUGAACACCUAAAUGCACACGACAUAGAAAACCUAGAAGAAACUGAUAAAUUCCUGAAAACAUACAACCUCCCAAUAUUGCACCAAGAAGAAAUUAAAACCCUGAACAGACCAAUAAUGAGUUCUGAAAUUUAAUCAGUAAUAAAAAGCCUACCAACCAGAAAAAUCCCAGGACCAGAUGGAUUCACAGAUGAAUUCUACCAGACAUAUUAAGAAGACCUGGUAUAAUCCCUACUGUGAAUAUUCCAAAACAUUUAGGAGGAAGAAUUCCUCUCUAAUUCAUUCUAUGAGCCCAGCAUCCUUCUGAUACCAAAACUUGGCAGACAAACAACAAUAAAGAAAACUACAAGCCAAUAUUCCUGAUGAACAAAGAUGUAAAAAUCCUCAACAAAAUAUUAGCAAACUGAAUUCAGCAGCACAUUGAAAAGCUAAAUGACCACAAUCUCUUAAGCUUUAUUCUUGGGAGGCAAGAAUUGGUUCCAUAGAGGCAAAUCAAUCAAUGUAAUUCAUUAUAUAAACAAAACUAGAAACAAAAAUCACAUGAUCAUCUCAAUAGAUGCAGAAAGGGCUUUUGAUAAAAUUCAAUGUCCCUUCAUGUUAAAAACUCUCAACAAAGUAAGCAUCAAAGGCACAUACUCAAAUAAUAAGAGCCAUUUAUGAAAAAUUCACAGCCAACAUCAUCCAGAAUGGGCAAAAGCUGGAAGCAUUCCGCUUGAAAACUAAAACAAGACAAGAAUGCCCUCUCUUAUUAUUUUUAUUAAACAUACUACUGGAAGUCCUAAGCAGAAUAAUUGGCCAAAAGAAAAGAAAAAAAAGCAUCCAAAUGGGAUAAUAGAAAGUCAAAUAAUCCCCUUUUGCAGACGAUAUGAUUCUAUACCUAGAAAACCAAAUAGUCCCUACCCAAAACCUCCUUGAUUUGAUAAACAAUUUCAGCAAUGUUUCAGAAUUCAAAAUUAGUGUUCAAAAAGUAGCAUUCCUAUAUAGCAACAAUAUCCAAGCUGAGAGCCAAAUCAAGAACACAAUCGCAUUCACAAUGGCCAUAAAAACAAUAAAAUACCCAGGAAUAUAGCUACGCAGGGAGGUGAAACGUGUUUACAAUGAGAAUUACAAAACACUGCUCAAAUAAAUCAGAGAUGAUGCAAACAAAUGGAAAAUCCCCCCAUGCUUAUGGAUAAGAAGCAUCAAUAUUGUUAAAAUGGCCAUAAUGUCCAGAGCAAUUUACAGACUCAAUGCUUUUCCUAUCAAACUACUAAUGACAUUUUUCACAGAACUAGAAAAAAAAAACUAUUUUAAAAUUCAUGUAGAACCAAAAAAGAUCCCAAAUAGCAGGCAAUAGUAAGCAAAAAGAAAAAUGCUAGAAGCAUCCUGUUACCCAACUUUAAACUAUACUACAAGGCUACAGUAACCAAACAUCAUGGGUUUGGUACAAAAAUAGAAAUGUAAAUCAAUGGAACAGAAUAGAGAGCUCAGAAAUAAUGCCACACGCCUACAACCAUUUAGAUUACCUUUGACAAAGCUGACAAAAACAAGCAAUGGGGAACGGAGUCCCUAUGCGAUAAAUGGUGUGGGAUAACUGACUAGCCAUAUGCAGAAGAUUGAAACUGGAUCCCUUCCUUACACCAUAUACACAAAUCAAUUCAAGAUGGAUUGAAGACUUAAAUGUAAAACAUAAGACUAUUAAGAUGCUGGAAGAUAAUCUAGGAAAUAGCAUUCUGGGCAUAGGCCCUAGCAAAGAUUUCAUGACAAAGAUACAAAAAGCAAUUGUAAAAACAACAACAAAAAACGGACACAUGAGACCUAAUUAAAGAGUUUCAGCACAGCAAAAGAAACUACCAACAGAAUGAUAUGAUUUGACUCUGUGUCCCCACCCAAUUCUCAUGUCAAAUUAUAGUUUUCUCAGUGUUGGAGGAGGGGCCUGGUGGGAGGUGAUUGGAUCAUAGGGGCAAACAUCCCCCUUGCUGUUCUCAUGACAGUGAGUUCUUAUGAGAUCUGGUGGUUUAAAAGUGUGUGGCACUUACCCCUUCACUCUCUUCUUCCUGCUUCUGUCAUGUAAGAUGUGUCUUCUUCCUCUUCACUUUCCACCAUGAUUGUAAGUUUCCUGAGACCUCCCCAGCCAUGUUUCCUGUACAGCCUGCAGAACUAUAAGUCAAUUAAACCUCUUUUCUUUAUAAAUUACUCAGUCUCAGGUAGUUCUUUAUAGCAACACAAGGAUAGACAAAUACAUAGAGUAAACACACAACCUGUAGAAUGGUGAAAAAUAUUUGCAAACUAUGCAUUCAAAAAAGGUGUAAUAUCUAGAAUCAAUAAGAAACUUAAACAAAUUAACAAGCAAAAAACAACCCCAUUAAAGAGUGGGCAAAGACACUACUCAAAAGAAGACAUACAUGUGACCAACAAGCAUAUAAAAAAUUCUUAAUGUCACUAAUCAUUAGAGAAAUGCAAAUCAAAACCACAGUGAGAUACCAUCUCACACCUGUCAGAAGGACUAUUAUUAAAAAGUCAAAAAAUAACAGUUGCAGCUAAGGUUGUGGAGAAAAGGGAGCACUUACACACUGUUGCUGGGAACAUAAAUUAGUUUAGCCAUUGCAGAAAGCAGUUCAGAGAUCUCUCAAAGAACUUAACACAGAAUGAAUGACCAGUUGAUCCAACAAUUCCAUUAUUGGGUAUGUACUGAAAGGAAUAUAAAUCAUUCCACCAUAAAGACACAUUUAUGCAUAAGUUCACUGCAGCACUAAUUACAAUUGCAAAGACAUGGAAUCAACCUAGAUGACCAUUAAUAGUGCACUGGAUAAAGAAAAAGUGAUAAAUAUACACCAUGGAAUAGUAUGCAGUUAUAAAAAAGCAUGAAAUCAUGUCUUUUUCAGAAACAUGUAUGCUGCAGGAGACCAUUAUCUUAAGCAAACUAAAGUAGAAACAGAGAACAAAAUACCACGUUCUCAUUUAUAAAUGGAAGCUAACCAUUCAGAACACAUGGACACAAGGAAGAGAAUGUUAGACACCAAGGCCUACUUAAGUGACGACAGUGAGAGUGGGGAAAGGAUUGAAAAACUGCCUAUUGGGUACUAUGCUUAUUACCUGGGUGACAAAAUAAUCUAUACCUCAAAACUUCAUGACAUGCUAUUUACCUAGAUAACAAACCUGUUCAUGUACCCUUGAACCUAAAAUAAAAGUUUAAAAUAAUCCUGAAAGUAGGUAACUAAAGUUUAGAGAAAAACUAUAAAGGAGAUCAAGAGAUAAUCUAGUUAAUGGAACUGAAAUAAAAAGUAUUCAAAAUAACUCCACUUAUAUAUUAUAAAAUU